rnacentral:rRNA from 1 species
UACGGAGGGUGCAAGCGUUAUCCGGAUUCACUGGGUUUAAAGGGUGCGUAGGUGGGUUGGUAAGUCAGUGGUGAAAUCCCCGAGCUUAACUUGGGAACUGCCAUUGAUACUAUCAGUCUUGAAUACCGUGGAGGUUAGCGGAAUAUGGUCAUGUAGCGGUGAAAUGCUUAGAUAUGACAUAGAACACCAAUGGCGAAGGCAGCUCGCUGGGACGGUACUGACGCUGAGACGCGAAAGCGUGGGGAGCAAACACGG